UACGUAGGGUGCAAGCGUUGUCCGGAAUUAUUGGGCGUAAAGAGCUCGUAGGCGGUCUGUCGCGUCUGCUGUGAAAACUCGGGGCUUAACCCCGGGCCUGCAGUGGGUACGGGCAGACUAGAGUGCGGUAGGGGAGAUUGGAAUUCCUGGUGUAGCGGUGGAAUGCGCAGAUAUCAGGAGGAACACCAAUGGCGAAGGCAGAUCUCUGGGCCGUAACUGACGCUGAGGAGCGAAAGCAUGGGGGAGCGAACAGG
rnacentral:rRNA from 1 species